CAGCCGCGGUAAUACGGAGGGUGCGAGCGUUAAUCGGAAUUACUGGGCGUAAAGCGCAUGCAGGUGGUUUGUUAAGUCAGAUGUGAAAGCCCGGGGCUCAACCUCGGAAUUGCAUUUGAAACUGGCAAACUAGAGUACUGUAGAGGGGGUAGAAUUUCAGGUGUAGCGGUGAAAUGCGUAGAGAUCUGAAGGAAUACCGGUGGCGAAGGCGGCCCCCUGGACAGAUACUGACACUCAGAUGCGAAAGCGUGGGGAGCAAACAGGAUUAGAUACCCUGGUAG
rnacentral:rRNA from 1 species